UGACCGCGGCUGCUGGCACGGAGUUAGCCGGGGCUUCUUCUGCUGGUACCGUCAUUAUCUUCCCAGCUGAAAGAUCUUUACAACCCUAAGGCCUUCAUCGAUCACGCGGCAUGGCUAGAUCAGGGUUGCCCCCAUUGUCUAAGAUUCCCCACUGCUGCCUCCCGUAGGAGUCUGGGCCGUGUCUCAGUCCCAGUGUGGCUGAUCAUCCUCUCAAACCAGCUAUGGAUCGUAGGCUUGGUAGGCCAUUACCCCACCAACUACCUAAUCCAACGCGGGCUAAUCCUUUGGCGAUAAAUCUUUCCCCCGAAGGGCACAUACGGUAUUACUCCCAGUUUCCCGAGGCUAUUCCGUACCAAAGGGCAUAUUCCCACGCGUUACUCACCCGUCCGCCGCUAGACCCGAAGGUCUCGCUCGACUUGCAUGUGUUAGGCCUGCCGCCAGCGUUCGUUCUGAGCCAUGAUCAAACUC
rnacentral:rRNA from 1 species